GUGAUCGCUUCGGCAGCACAUACACAAAAAUUGGCGCAGUGUAGAAAAGAUUAGCAUGGCCCCUAUGUAAGGAUGACACAUAAAAUAUAGCAGACCCAAGGGUUUUU